UUUUUUUUUUUUUUGUCUUACCGGUAUAUGUAUAAAACAUUACAGUGGUAGUCUUAGGGACCUUUACUUAUCUACACUGUAUACAAUCAAACCUACACAGGGUUAAUGUGAAACAAUAUAUUUGUAUGUUUAUUAUCUCAGUUUACAUGUAAUAAAUUUCACUGGUAUGUAAAAAAUCCUUUUUUUUAUAUAUAUCAAAUGAUUUCCUCCCAUCUUUGUGAAGUUUUGAUUACAUUCUGACUUGAAACAUAUCCAUUUUUUUUUUCUAAGUCUUUUUAUAGUGAACUUUAAAAAAAGAUAAUUCAAGCAAUGUUAUAUUGCUUGCAGUUUAAAUACAAUCUUUUUUUUUUGUUAUUAUGUGCCUGCCAAUACUUUCUGCGAUGCUUUAUAGAUUGACUUACAUCAGUGUUGCCCAAACUGUGACCCUGGGGUCUUAUCUAGCCUUUCAAAGCUUCCCCUCACACAAUGUUUAAUGAAGCUGCAAAAAAUUGGUUUGAUUGGAUUCAUUGUUAGAUGUGGCCUGUGAGGUGUUGAAAGGUUAUUUAGCCUAUAGGCCAUAAACAGUUGGGCAACACUGAGUUGCAUGACAUUGCCAUUGAAUCCUUAUAGUUGUGAACCUCAGACCAGUUAGCUGGACUGACCACACAAAAGAUUUUACAUGCAUGUAAAGCUUGGGGACAUUCUCACAUGACAAAAUUAUUCUAAGGAAAGAUGUUUUUAAUGAAUAGGAAUUUAAAAAGACUUUUAGGAUUGCAUUUAAAAAUAAAAUCUAAUUUUUUUUUAUUUAAGAGGGAAGGGAAUAAUUUCAUCUUUCCAACCUCCAAAAAUGAUUAGCGUCUAAACCUGAGACAUUCAGGUUUAAAUUUCACUCCUCUGUCACAAACUUGACCAUGCUACAAAGUUUGAUUUAAAUAAAAAGUAAUUUUCUUUUUCUCAAACUCAAAAUUCAAUCAUUAUUUUCUCAUGAUGCCUUUAAGAUUUUUAAAAAUUUGCUUUUGUGUGUGGCAUACAAUAAUGUUUAAUAUGGUUGUCGAUAUCAAUACUUACAAACUUGUGUUUGCUUUUAUAAAAAAAAUUUUUUUGGCUCUUCAAAAUCUGUGAAACUAAAUGAAGUAAAACUUUUUUUUUUUUUUUACUUCUGCCCUGCCAGUGGGGCUUAACGUUUGUGUUGGCUCAGUGAUAUAGUCUAGCUGUGAAGUUACUUGCUCUCUACUUGUUAGGCCUGUGUGCACUGUGUGUGGUGGCUGGCCUUAUUAUUGCAUGAUCCCUAUUAGUACAUAGAACUAAGAUUAUAAAAGUGAUUCCUUCCCUAUGAAGGCUACAGUUUCAGGGUUUCUAACCAUAAUUUUGAUCCAUCAAACUCAAUAGAGUAUAUUACUUGAUUUUUUGCAGCCUUCAUGUUACAUCUAUGAUCAUAAUACUAUUGGUUGAAAUAUCUAAACCACUGUUUCCUAAUGUUAUGGAGAAUAGAAAAUCUAAAAUAAAAUAAACUUUAUCCUUUUAAUGAAUUACCUCCCUUUGCCCAUUAUUCUCUCAAUCUUGUUCCUUACAUACUUGUGGUGAGUGAC